rnacentral:rRNA from 1 species
UUGUCACUGUCAGGAAAAGCCGCUAUUGCGUAUCAUGAACCCGUACCGUAAACCGACACAGGUGGAUGAGGAGAGAAUCCUAAGGCCGACGGAAGAAGCAUUGUUAAGGAAUUCGGCAAAAUGACCCCGUAACUUCGGGAGAAGGGGUGCCUACGAAUGUAGGCCGCAGAGAAUUGGCCCAAGCAACUGUUUAGCAAAAACACAGGUUUAUGCGAAACCGAAAGGUGAAGUAUAUGAGCUGACGCCUGCCCGGUGCUGGAAGGUUAAGGGGAGAGCUUAGAGGCAACUCGAAGGUUCGAACUUAAGCCCCAGUAAACGGCGGCCGUAACUAUAACGGUCCUAAGGUAGCGAAAUUCCUUGUCGGGUAAGUUCCGACCCGCACGAAAGGCGUAAUGAUUUGGGCACUGUCUCGACAAUGCAUCCGGUGAAAUUGAAAUACCAGUGAAGAUGCUGGUUACCCGCGCCAGGACGGAAAGACCCCAUGGAGCUUUACUCCAGUUUGAUGCUGGGAUUCGGUACUGCAUGUACAGGAUAGGCGGGAGACUAGGAAGAUAUAACGCCAGUUGUAUCAGAGUCGCUGUUGGGAUACCGCCCUUGUAGUACUGGGUUUCUAACCUGCCACCGUGAACCGGUGGAGGGACAACGUCAGGCGGGGAGUUUGACUGGGGCGGUCGCCUCCGAAAGGGUAUCGGAGGCGCUCAAAGGUUCCCUCAGAAUGGUUGGAAACCAUUCGAAGAGUGCAAAGGCAGAAGGGAGCUUGACUGCGAGGUCGACGGACCGAGCAGGUACGAAAGUAGGACUUAGUGAUCCGGUGGUAGAAAGUGGGAUUGCCAUCGCUCAACGGAUAAAAGCUACCCUGGGAUAACAGGCUAAUCACUCCCAAGAGUUCACAUCGACGGAGUGGUUUGGCACCUCGAUGUCGGCUCAUCGCAUCCUGGGGCUGUAGCAGGUCCCAAGGGUUGGGCUGUUCGCCCAUUAAGCGGUACGCGAGCUGGGUUCAGAACGUCGUGAGACAGUUCGGUCCCUAUCGGGCGCGGGCGUAGGAUAUCUGAAAGGAGCUGGCCUUAGUACGAGAGGACCGGGCUGGACGGACCGCUGGUGUAUCUGUUGUCAUACCAAUGGCAUAGCAGGGUAGCCAAGUCUGGAAGGGAUAAACGCUGAAGGCAUCUAAGCGUGAAGCCCCCCUUAAGAUAAGAUAUCCCUGGAGUUAAUCCAGUAAGACCCCUUGAAGACGACGAGGUAGAUAGGGCAGAGGUGGAAGUGUGGUAACACAUGGAGCUGACUGUCACUAAUAGGUCGAGGGCUUGAUC